AAGCGCCCGCUGCCGCCUCGGCAGAGGCUCGUCUCCUCGCGCGGCCAUGGUUAUCCCCUCCUUCCCCCUGCCUCGCCUCCACCUCUCCCUCCAACUCCACAACCCCAGCGCCAUCCCGAGUCCCCGCCGCCGGCCGCGCCCCGCCCCGACGAGCGAGACGCUCCGCCGCCGCCUCCUCCGCAAGGGCGUCUCCCCGACCCCCAAAAUCCUCCACGCGCUCCGCAAGAAGGAGGCCCUCAAGUCCCUCCGCCGCGCCAGGAAGGACACCGCCGCCGCCGCCGCGGCCGCGGAGGCGGCCAGCAAUGCGCUGCCCAGGGAGGAGGACGGCGCCGCGGUGGUGGGCGAAGACGACGAGGCCCGCUUCCGCGCGGCCGUCGCCGAGUACCGCGCGCUCAUGGGCCGGCCGUGGCACGGCGGCGCCUCGGCACCCCCGCGUGGGGCCCUCCGAGGCGAAGGCGAGGGCCUCGACGGCCUCCGCGAGAUGCUCGCGGCGAGGAGGGCCGGCAAGUUCGAGUGGCUACUGGAGGAUGAUGACGUAGAGGAGGGUGAAGAGGAAGCGGCGGUGGGGAGGCGGGGGCGUGCUGGCGUCGGCUGGAAUUCGGAUUUUCGGGAUGAGGAGAGGAGGAUUGAGUCGCUGGUGAGGAGGCUGAACGAAGAUGAUCUAAGUAUGCGUGAUUGGAGGCUUACUAGAUUGAUGAAAAAAGCUGACCUAAUAUAUAAUGAAGAUAAUCUGCUACAAAUACUGGAAGGGCUUGAGGCAAGAGGAAAUUGGAGGCAGGCUUUAUCUGUUACUGAGUGGGUGUACAAUGAGAACAUCUACAAGCAUCGAAAAAGCAGGUUCGUGUAUACAAAAUUACUAUCAAUCCUUGGAAAAGCAUGGAGGCCAACUGAAGCACUUCGAGUUUUCACCAUCAUGCGGAGUGAUGCUCAAAUAUACCCUGAUAUGGCUGCAUACCAUAGUAUUGCUGUUACACUUGGUCGAGCUGGCCUUCUAAACGAGCUAAUCAAGAUUAUAGAGUAUAUGAGACAGAAGCCUUCGAAAAGGGUAAUGAAGAUGCGUCGCAAAGAUUGGGAUCCUUCCUUGGAGCCAGAUGUUCUGAUUUAUAACUCGGUCCUUAAUGCAUGCGUUCUAUCACAGCAGUGGAAAGGGGUAUUUUGGGUGUUUCAGCAAAUGAGAAGGAAUAGUUUGAUACCUACAGGAGCAACAUUUGGGUUAGCGAUGGAGGUCAUGCUUAAAGCCAAGAAGUAUGACUUUGUCCAAAAGUUCUUUCAGAAGAUGCAAAAAAGUGGGGUACCUCCAAGAGCAAUAACUUAUAAAGUUCUAGUAAGAGCCUACUGGGAACAAGGGAAAGUAAAUGAAGCAGUUGAAGCAGUUAAGGACAUGGAACAAAGGGGAAUUGUUGGAGCUGCAAGUGUUUAUUAUGAACUAGCUUGCUGUCUCUGCAAUAAAGGAAGGUGGAGAGAUGCUUUGUCACAGGUUGAGAAGCUAAAACAGCUUCCGCUCACUAAACCGCUAGAGUUCACAUUUACUGGCAUGAUCUUAGCCUCUUUUGAUGGUGGAUAUAUCUCAGAAUGCAUCUCAAUAUUUGAGUCAAUGGAAGGGCACUGUGCACCAAAUAUUGGUACAAUAAAUGUCAUGAUAAAAGUGUAUGGACGCUGUGAUAUGUUUGUGAAAGCAAGGGACUUAUUUGAGACCAUCAAAGUUAAUUUGCCUAGUUCAAAUCAUUCAUCACAUAAAGCAGACGCAUAUACAUACAGCUCUAUGCUUGAAGCAGCUGCAUCUGCCCAACAGUGGGAAUACUUUGAAAAUGUGUAUAGAGAGAUGACUCUCUCUCAGUACCACCUAGAUCAAAGCAAAUAUUCAUGGAUGCUCAUCAAGGCAUCCAAAGCUGGAAAGUCAUAUUUGCUGGAACAUGCACUUGAUUCAAUACUUGAAAGAGGAGAGACCCCCAAUGUACAGUUAUUUAGUGAGAUGAUAUGCCAAACUAUUGCUCAAAGAAACUAUGCAAAGACACUUCAUCUAAUAAAUAUUAUGGCUGAGGCUUCAACUGAUGUCAGUGAACUUCAGUGGAGCAAGCUACUUGAGCAAAAUAUGCAUCGAUUCAGCGUGAAUGCUUUGAAAGAUCUUUUAAAGUACCUCAGUACCAGUGAUAUCAUCAAAUCGGAUCCCGAACUUUGUUUUGUAAGUGCACUGCAAUCUCAAUGUGGGACAACUUUUGUGAACGACACUUCUUUUGUGGCUGAUGGUACAUAUACUGGACAGUCUCAACUCUCUCUGCCAGAGAAUAUAACCAAGUCUUCAAAUAGCAAUCUAGAUCAGCUUUCUUGCAUGAAUUCGCUAAACACAAAUGUAUUUCCCGAUGAGAAAGUUAGCAGUGAGUUCUCUGAUUACAUUAUGAAUACUCCACAAUCUGAUGCUAAUGCUGGCUUGAGCGAGGACAUUGUUAUAGGUUCACAUUUUGAGAGUGAACAGAAAGAACAACAUGAUCUCGGCUGGUUGGGGACAGGAGUAUCUGCAGUUGACGAAGUACUUGAUUCAAUGAAUUUGUAUGGUGAUGGUUCAUGCGGAGAGAUGCCGUCAGCAUCAGAAAUUCUUGAAUUAUGGGAGCAGGAUAGGAUAAAUGGGACGUUUUCUGCUAAAACGGCUGAACCACCAUGUGAGGAUAGGUGAUCUGGCAAGUGCUGUUUGAUGUGGCUAGUGUAAAAUUCUCACAUUAACACUAACCAAAUUGGUGAAUACGAAGAAAGCCAUGAAGUCCCAUAAGUUUGGUACAUGCAGCUCUGCAUUGCCUGAAUAUGCAAACUAGGUGGAUCUAGGUUUAUGUGAUGAGAUCAAAAGAAUCUGAUGAAAGAUCCAUUUCCAGAAAGCAAGGCCAGUGGGUUGGUAUGUAUUCUUUACCUUCAGCAAAAGUUGAUAAUGCAAGGAAUUAGCUUUCGCCUAAGAACCAGACCAAAAUAGGUUUCAUUACCAGUAGGAUCAUUUGAACAUAUUGCGCUCUGGAAAUUCUCUUCUUAUUGCCUUAGGAUUUUCAUCAAGAAGGGAGUGCUGCAGAAAUAAACCAAAGCCAAAUUUGCUUCAAAUAGAUAAAAGGAAAUAACACCAGAAGUUGAAGUGGAUGUCCAGUGACGCUGCUCCGGUGGUCCUUAUAAUCGUUUCAGUCAUACUGAUCACUAUGAACUCUGAAGGCAUCCAUGAAAUUCGGCUGUUGAACAGGUGUGAAAAUAACGUGUAACCAAACGUGGAUCGGCUGUUGUACAUGGCGUUGUGAAAACAGCAGCCAAGGGGAACGCAACCUGUCUUCUCCUUAAUUUACCGGAACAGUGUAGUCUGUUGUUUUAAUGGCCAACUGUGGAUAGUGUAACAGUUUGAGCAUCAUACUACUAGUUAUUGCACAGGAAGUAGAAUGGAUUUCUCAAGAUUUGAUCAUGUGCCCUCUAAACUUUGUAGCCUCAAAAAAUAAAUCAUGCAUGAUAUACCAGAAAGACUACAAAACACUA